AUAAAGCACUGCACAGUAUGUUACGUGGGCAGCAUAGUUUACAUAGAAACAAAACUCAAUUUUAAAACGUCAUGGUGUGAUUUUAGAAAUGUUAUGAGCAAUGAUGUACUGCAGAAGGACUGGUGGUUGGAGACACUGGGCUGCUGCCAUAGAGACCUACCACGCAAAGUAAGGUAAGUAGAUGCCACAAUACAAUUCUCACUGAAAGAAUGCAUUCAGCCAAUAUCAAUUCGGAUCUACCUUUGAAUAUAUUCUCACACUGAUAAUUUGAGCGUGAUGGCGAC